rnacentral:rRNA from 1 species
UACAGAGGGCCCAAGCGUUGUUCGGAUUCACUGGGCGUAAAGGGUGCGUAGGCGGUCGGGUAAGUCUGGCGUGAAAUCUCCAAGCCUAACUUGGAAACUGCGUUGGAUACUAUCCGGCUCGAGGAAUGGAGGGGAGACUGGAAUACUUGGUGUAGCAGUGAAAUGCGUAGAUAUUCGGAAGAACACCAGUGGCGAAGGCAGCGAAUUGGCGCUAUAUUGACGCUCAGGCACGAAAGCAUGGGGAUCAAACAGG